CGGCGGACCUGUGAGGGAACCCGACUUGCUGGCAGAACUUACGCUGCGGCACCCCGGGCACUGUUGCUGCUGCGGUAGUCUACCUCGAGACCUAUGGCUGCCAGAUGAAUGUGAAUGACACAGAGAUAGCCUGGUCCAUCUUACAGAAGAGUGGCUACCUGCGGACCAGUAACCUCCAAGAGGCAGAUGUGAUUCUCCUUGUCACGUGCUCUAUCAGGGAGAAGGCUGAGCAGACCAUCUGGAACCGUUUACAUCAGCUUAAAGCCUUGAAGACAAGGCGGCCCCGCUCCCGGGUUCCUCUGAGGAUUGGAAUUCUAGGCUGCAUGGCUGAGAGGUUGAAGGAGGAGAUUCUCAACAGAGAGAAAAUGGUAGAUAUUUUGGCUGGUCCUGAUGCCUACCGGGACCUUCCCCGGCUGCUGGCUGUUGCUGAGUCGGGCCAGCAAGCUGCCAACGUGCUGCUCUCUCUGGACGAGACCUAUGCUGAUGUCAUGCCAGUCCAGACAAGCGCCAGUGCCACGUCUGCCUUUGUGUCGAUCAUGCGAGGCUGUGACAACAUGUGUAGCUACUGCAUUGUUCCUUUCACCCGGGGCAGGGAGAGGAGUCGGCCUAUUGCCUCCAUUCUAGAGGAAGUGAAGAAGCUUUCUGAGCAGGGGCUGAAAGAAGUCACACUUCUUGGUCAGAAUGUUAAUAGUUUUCGGGACAAUUCAGAGGUCCAGUUCAACAAUGCAGUGCCUACCAAUCUCAGCCGUGGCUUUACCACCAACUAUAAAACCAAGCAAGGAGGACUUCGUUUUGCUCAUCUUCUGGAUCAGGUCUCCAGAGUAGAUCCUGAAAUGAGGAUCCGUUUUACCUCUCCCCAUCCCAAGGAUUUUCCCGAUGAGGUUCUGCAGCUGAUUCAUGAGAGAGAGAACAUCUGUAAACAGAUCCACCUGCCAGCCCAGAGUGGAAGCAGCCGUGUGUUGGAGGCCAUGCGGAGGGG
rnacentral:sRNA from 1 species